GGAAUAUUGGACAAUGGGCGCAAGCCUGAUCCAGCCAUGCCGCGUGCAGGAUGACGGUCCUAUGGAUUGUAAACUGCUUUUGCACAGGAAGAAACAACGCUACGUGUAGCGUCUUGACGGUACUGUGAGAAUAAGGAUCGGCUAACUCCGUGCCAGCAGCCGCGGUAAUACGGAGGAUCCAAGCGUUAUCCGGAAUCAUUGGGUUUAAAGGGUCCGUAGGCGGUCUUAUAAGUCAGUGGUGAAAUCUCCCCGCUCAACGGGGAAACGGCCAUUGAUACUGUAGGACUUGAAUUAUUAGGAAGUAACUAGAAUAUGUAGUGUAGCGGUGAAAUGCUUAGAGAUUACAUGGAAUACCAAUUGCGAAGGCAGGUUACUACUAAUGGAUUGACGCUGAUGGACGAAAGCGUGGGUAGCGAACAGGAUUAGAUACCCCAG
rnacentral:rRNA from 1 species